rnacentral:sRNA from 1 species
CCUGAGCAAGACCAACAAUUGCUGAAUAAACACAACCCCCCCUGAGAAUCACGCAGACAGGCACUGUCUCUUUACCUGGGAAUUGCAAAGGAAGUGAGAACAUCCCCGAGCAAGACCAAAAAUUGCUGAAUAAACACAAACCCCCUUGAGAAUCACGCCAACAGGUGCUGCCUCUUUACCUGGGGAUUGCAAAGGUAUGUACAGCACUGUACAGUUUACUAAACACAAGUCUUCACAUCAGUCCUCUUCUCCGCAGCCACAUGACUCAAGCAGGCACAGCACCCAACAGGAACACCAGAGUCCUGAGCAGGAAGAAUUUCUCCUGUUGCAGCCAUGGGGGGAGUCAGGCAUGAUGUGCCUGAUGGUGCAGCAGGACAUGAUGAUGUCAGGGCUGCCUGGGACAUAUUGAACUUCCUGAUUUUUUCUUCUUGUGAUGGAAGAAAUGAUUUUGGAUUAAGAUG